GGAAUUUUGCGCAAUGGGCGAAAGCCUGACGCAGCAACGCCGCGUGGAGGAUGAAGGUCUUCGGAUCGUAAACUCCUGUCAGUGGGGACGAAUGCCUCGCAAGAGGUUUGACUGUACCCGCUGAGGAAGCCACGGCUAACUCCGUGCCAGCAGCCGCGGUAAUACGGAGGUGGCAAGCGUUGUUCGGAAUUACUGGGCGUAAAGGGCGCGUAGGCGGCUUGGCAAGUCAGAUGUGAAAGCCCCGGGCUUAACUCGGGAAUUGCAUCUGAAACUGCUUUGCUUGAGUCCUGGAUGGGAUAGUGGAAUUCCCAGUGUAGCGGUGAAAUGCGUAGAUAUUGGGAGGAACACCUGCGGCGAAGGCGGCUAUCUGGACAGUGACUGACGCUGAGGCGCGAAAGCUAGGGGAGCGAACGGGAUU
rnacentral:rRNA from 1 species